AUUGAACGCUGGCGGCAGGCUUAACACAUGCAAGUCGAGCGGGGUGAUGGUGCUUGCACUAUCACUUAGCGGCGGACGGGUGAGUAAUGCUUAGGAAUCGGCCUAUUAGUGGGGGACAACAUCUCGAAAGGGAUGCUAAUACCGCAUACGUCCUACGGGAGAAAGCAGGGGACCACUUGUGACCUUGCGCUAAUAGAUGAGCCUAAGUCGGAUUAGCUAGUUGGUGGGGUAAAGGCCUACCAAGGCGACGAUCUGUAGCGGGUCUGAGAGGAUGAUCCGCCACACUGGGACUGAGACACUGCCCAGACUCCUACGGGAGGCAGCAGUGGGGAAUAUUGGACAAUGGGGGGAACCCUGAUCCAGCCAUGCCGCGUGUGUGAAGAAGGCCUUAUGGUUGUAAAGCACUUUAAGCGAGGAGGAGGCUCUUUUGGUUAAUACCCAAGAUGAGUGGACGUUACUCGCAGAAUAAGCACCGGCUAACUCUGUGCCAGCCGCCGCGGUAA
rnacentral:rRNA from 1 species